AUGGAGACACUAGGGCUCUUGCUCUGCAGUACUGGGCCCACGCAUCAGGCAGGACACACGUUAGACCUGAUCUUCAGCACAGGAAUUCAAGUGACCCAAGCCUCUAUUUUAGAGGUUCCAUGGUCGGAUCACUGUGCCCUGAGAGUCAGGCUGGAGCAUGCCUACCUACCUGGCAAGGGCGCCGAGCCGAUUUGGGUUCGCCCAAGAAGACUUAUGGAACCUAGUAGGUUCCAGAAUGCUCUGAAGGAUCUGGAGCCUGUCAGCGACUCGAUCGAUGUGCAGGUGGACACAUGGAACAUCAGUCUAUCCAAUGCACUCGACGAGAUCGCCCCUAGACGCCCUCUCCAACCCCGCCGAAAUCGGUCUCCUUGGUUCACCGAGGAACUUCGAUCGAUGAAGCGGGAAAAGAGACGGCUAGAGGUCGUGUGGCGAGAACUUCAUGACAGAGCUUCGAGAUCAGCUUACAGGGCAUUUAUGGAGUCCUAUGAGCAUGCUAUCAUCGAAGCAAAGCAAGUAUAUUAUGCCUCUUUGAUAGCAUCCACCAGCUCACGCCCGGCAAAAUUGUUCAAAAUAAUUAGAUCUUUAACGACGGUUCCUACCAACCCAAAAAGUGAUGAUCAGACCCCUUCAGCCGAGGCUUUUCAAAGCUAUUUUGCUGACAAGAUCUCACUACUACGCCGGGACCUCCCCGCCACAAUUGAUACAAGGAGAGAACUUGAGACUCCAUGGCCACUCGCUGGGCCCACCCUCGACCGGUUCAUCCCACUGGACACAGAGGCUCUCGAUAGGCUCAUAGUUGCAGCUAGACCGACCACUUGCUCCCUCGAUCCGUGUCCCUCCUGGUUGGUAAAAUCCUACUUGGAGGGAUUACAUGAUCCUCUGUUGAAGAUAAUAAACAGCUCCCUUGAGCAAGGAGUCUUUCCAGAGGGUUUAAAAGAGACGGUGGUCUCUCCCCUGCUGAAGAAACCAGAUUUAGAUCGUUCGGUUCCCUCCAGCUAUCGCCCAGUUUCGAACCUCUCGUUCCUGGGCAAGGUGAUUGAGAGGGCAGUAGCGGAGCAGUUGCAACAGUUCCUAGACAACACAGCCGGAUUAGAUCCCUUCCAGUCCGGCUUUCGUGCGGGACAUGGGACAGAGACUGUGCUGGUCUCCAUCACGGAUCACCUUCGAUGCCAGCUUGAUCAGGGCGGGUCGGUGCUGCUCGUGUUAUUGGACCUCACUGCAGCAUUUGACAUAGUCGAUCAUAAUCUUUUGACCCACCGCCUUGCCAUUGCUGGAGUCAGGGGGACAGCUUUAAAUUGGCUGGCCUCCUUUCUUCACAACCGUGGACAGCGAGUGGAGAGGGGAGGCCUGGUCUCUGAAAGGUCCCCUCUACUUUGUGGGGUGCCUCAAGGGGCCAUUCUCUCCCCUCUGUUGUUUAACAUCUAUAUGCGACCACUUGUUCAGCUGGUUUGA
rnacentral:lncRNA from 1 species